UCUCUGUCUGCUAGAUGGUAGUGAACAGACCGUGACCCGGGUGGCAAAGGACCUUGAUGAUCUUCUUGACCUUUGACACCGAGUGCUGUAAAUGUCCUGGAGGGCAGGCAGCGUACCACCGGGGAUGCCUUUAGCUGACCUCACCACGAGUGCUUAAUUAGUCAAUUGUGAGAGAGAAGAAAAAAAAGGGCUUUCCGUUGAGUGGUACCGGAUCCUGGCGAAUGGGUUCCAGAACGAAACAGUCCAGAACUGAGUGGUACCGGAUCCUGGCGAAUGGGUUCCAGAACGAAACAGUCCAGAACUGAGUGGUACCGGAUCCUGGCGAAUGGGUUCCAGAACGAAACAGUCCAGAACUGAGUGGUACCGGAUCCUGGCGAAUGGGUUCCAGAACGAAACAGUCCAGAACUGAGUGGUACCGGAUCCUGGCGAAUGGGUUCCAGAACGAAACAGUCCAGAACUGAGUGGUACCGGAUCCUGGCGAAUGGGUUCCAGAACGAAACAGUCCAGAACUGAGUGGUACCGGAUCCUGGCGAAUGGGUUCCAGAACGAAACAGUCCAGAACUGAGAGGUACCGGAUCCUGGCGAAUGGGUUCCAGAACGAAACAGUCCAGAACUGAGUGGUACCGGAUCCUGGCGAAUGGGUUCCAGAACGAAACAGUCCAGAACUGAGUGGUACCGGAUCCUGGCGAAUGGGUUCCAGAACGAAACAGUCCAGAACUGAGUGGUACCGGAUCCUGGCGAAUGGGUUCCAGAACGAAACAGUCCAGAACUGAGUGGUACCGGAUCCUGGCGAAUGGGUUCCAGAACGAAACAGUCCAGAACUGAGAGGUGCCGGUUCCUGUUCCGACAGGCUCAAAUGAAGCACCCCGCACCAUCGCCUGGAAAGCCAUUUGGUUGAGGGAGGUACAGUUGCCAUACAGUUGCCAGGCACUGAUGCGGCCUGACAGAACUCUCUCGAUGGUGUAUCUGUAGAUGGUACACACAGACAUUAUUACUCACUCACAUACACACACACACACACACACUUUCACAUGCACGUUUAACCAGGCAAGGCAAUACAAGGUGACAGGGGGUCCAUUGUAAGCUGUUCAAACAGAAAGUAUCACUUCGGAACGAACGGAGUUGUGAUACUUAACAACCCCUUUACUCAGCCAACACCCUACCAGGCAGGGAGGCUCACAUACAGACUGCAAAUCAUACUGUGCAUGUGUGCGUGCACGGGUGUGAGUGAUCUGCACUGGGGUCAGUUUUGUUAGUGAACAGCAGAGGAAUGGCAGCAAAAACCAGCGAAACGGAAAAGUUGUACACAUGUUUUCACUCUUUCUUCCCCCUCUCUGUUUUCUGUCUCUUCUAUCUGUUUUCAAUCUUCUUGCAAUGGCCUCCAGCACCUGUUAACAGUGGGAGAGAGCUGGAGGGAGUGGGGGGCACGCAGGAGGGGAUGAGGGAGGCUAAAUAGUGUAGGGUGGUCGGGUCUGAUGUGAGGUCAUUCAAGGUCAUUUAUAACACUAGCUAACACGUGCUGUACAGAGUACCUAUCCUGAACGCAACUGAAACUGGCAUUCAGCUCCUGAUUUGAAUAUUGCACCAUAUAAUUGGCUAUGGGAAUGCAUUCAAAGUCAAACUGGUUUCAUGUUUUUGAGAGUAGAUCAACUUUGCUGCUAGAAUGUUGUUGUUAUCUUUGUUGUCGUCCGCUUACUCUUAUAGACACGACUUGGUGUUGUGCAGUGCAGCCAUAAGCUUUGGUCUCUAACGGCCACA